AAACAGGUUAAAUAUUCCUGUACCACUUUUUAGUGUUUGAGCAACGGGAUGACGCAGUAAGAUAGAUUGACUUGGCUUUUGGAUUGCCAAGCUAAGCAUUUAGAAGGAUUUUGUAGGUAAAUCCGCAAAAUCGUUAUCUUUGAGGUGUGAUGGGCAUAUCAAUCUAAUCGAAAGAUAUGUUCGAUUGAUUCUACACUGACUAGAAAAAUCUCUAGCGAAUUAAAAAGUGAUCGUACCGUAAACCG
rnacentral:rRNA from 1 species